GAUGAACGCUGGCGGCGUGCCUAAUACAUGCAAGUCGAGCGAACGGACGAGAAGCUUGCUUUUCUGAUGUUAGCGGCGGACGGGUGAGUAACACGUGGAUAACCUACCUAUAAGACUGGGAUAACUUCGGGAAACCGGAGCUAAUACCGGAUAAUAUUUUGAACCGCAUGGUUCAAAAGUGAAAGACGGUCUUGCUGUCACUUAUAGAUGGAUCCGCCCUGCAUUAGCUAGUUGGUAAGGUAACGGCUUACCAAGGCAACGAUGCAUAGCCGACCUGAGAGGGGGAUCGGCCACACUGGAACUGAGACACGGUCCAGACUCCUACGGGAGGCAGCAGUAGGGAAUCUUCCGCAAUGGGCGAAAGCCUGACGGAGCAACGCCGCGUGAGUGAUGAAGGUCUUCGGAUCGUAAAACUCUGUUAUUAGGGAAGAACAUAUGUGUAAGUAACUGUGCACAUCUUGACGGUACCUAAUCAGAAAGCCACGGCUAACUACGUG
rnacentral:rRNA from 1 species